CCACUGCGCCGGCGCGAGGAGCAGCUGGCGGAAACGCAGAACCGGCUUAAUGGUGACGGCCGCUUCCGGUCGGAGUGAGGCUGGACGGCCCGAGGGGACGCUGCAAGGCCAGAGGGACACCGGACACAACUGGAUAUCUCACUAUCCACCUCCUGUUGGCAAUAUAAAUUAAAAGGGAUUUGAUCCUCUUUUUGUCUUUGAGGCAAGGAAAGCAGAUGCACGAACUUUCAUUCCAUUUGGAUCCAUAGCUUCUGCCUGAGUGCCAUGGCCCUCCUCGGGCCUCUGCUCCUGUGGCAGGAAGGGCCCAGGGUACUGAGAGGAAGGUCAGACAAGAGGAAGAACACGUACCAGGAGCCACCACCACAACGUGGUGACUCAGCGGUUUUCAACCUGGAAGCAGCUCUGACGAGGAUACGAUGAGACUGCACUUCUGAGAGCAUUGAUUCCAACUAUUAGCGAGCUGGAACGAAGAGACAUUUGGCAUUUUCUUAGACGUUUCCCCAAAAUAUGUUGUAAAAAUAGAAAGCAAGUACAAGGACACAGUGUCUGGCAAAAACAAAUCAGAUUUAUUGUGAGAAAUCCUGCUUGGUAGUUCUGUGCCUUCUUCCUGAUGAAUGCCGUUGUUCGGCUGAUAACAUUAGGUUCUGUUGUUGAGGGGCAUUAAACACUCACCCACUUAGUGAGGCAAGGAGCUUCAGUGUUUCAGCCAUGAUGACUGCCGGAUGUUGGGGUACUGUCUGUUCCAGACACACCGGGAUCACUGGUCUGUCGGCACUUGUAAGUGAUCUUACACUGAGCCCGAUAUUCGGUAUUGAGCCUCACUCUGCUCACUUACAGCACCUCUCUGGAGGGUCACUGUCAGAUCUUUAAGGUUUUAUGUAUGUGUAUCUUUGUCCAUGUAUAUCUUAUGCAUCCGAUGUGUUGAAGGUGAGUUAGUUAUGAAAAAAAAAACAUUAAAUUUAGCCAUUAUUUGGUUCUCUAUGCCUCUGUGAGCUAUGUUAGUCAUUUCUAAGAGCUCCAGGCCCUGUCUGCCUGCUGCUCCCUGACUCUCAGUCCUGUCUUCAUGAUGAGUGACUGUACCUGAGCACAGCAUGACUCUAGAUUUGGAUGGAGGCCAAAUACAGGCAAAUGGGCUUUUUUAUACAGUAGACCCUGUGACCUAGGCUGUCACCUUUACUGUCCUGAAAUAAACCAGUAGGGGAGGGUGAAUUGUCAGUGGCUUGGUGUGUUCACAGCAGGUUCCCAAGAGGAAGUUAGGGGUAAUUCAGGCUGCCAUUCUGAAAGUGAACAGCACAAUUUACUGCUUGAUGAUUUAGGUGAAGUUAAACUCAAGAGCUAGCAGACCUAUUUUUGGCAAACCUGUACCACCGUUUACACAGAAAUUCUAGGCAGAGUUCUGGGCCUUCCUGAAGUAUAAGAAAAGGUCUUUGUAUGCGUACCAGCCAUUAUAAAUCACCUUCUGUGGAAAAGGGAGUAGGUAUGGUGUAGCCAUUUUCUCCAAACUGAAGCAUUCCCCCUUGGAGGGAAAGAGGGGAAGUCCCCAACACUCCUAAGAAAACUGCAAGACUCAUGAAUGAUCCCCUUCCUGAGGACGUGGAGCCUGGUGACACUGUCCACAUGGUGGGCAAGAAAUUGCAGAUCUCAAGUCAUCCCCCUCGGCAGGGGUGGACUUUGUGGACACAAGUCACUCACGAUCCUGAAGUGAACUCAGGAAUCGGAAAACCUGAACGUCUGAAUGUGGAUUCAGGUCGAGCCACGUGUCUGGAUUCUUCAUGUUUGCAUGCCUUCUCCUCACAACAGUCAUGGCUGAGGAGGUGGAGGCUCACAGGUUCUGGGUGGCAGCAUACAAUCCCACAAAGACAAGAAUUUCAGAAAAGCUACAUCCACAGACUGCUUGGUUACUCUCUGAUGGAGGGAGUAACACCUGUAAAACAUGCCACUGGAGAGGGACUGGCUCUCACUGAGCUCCAGGGAAAGGGAAGGAGCAGGAAGCAGGGAGUUAAGGCUCCAAUCUUCGUCCUUGGAGAAUCAAUGCUUAGCACUAACACGUUUUGUGCUGGCUACAGCUGGACUUGAGGGCAAAAACAAACAUACAAACAUCCCACCAAACAAAAAACCACCAAAGAACAACAACAACCACAAGAGCAACAACCACAAGGAAACCCCAGAAAAACAUCACUUGGAUUCAGAAAGAAGAAAUCACCUGAAUUCUCUCAAGUAUUCUUCCAAAAAAGUUGAAUAUAAUCAAUAUCUGUAUUAUUUUCCAAUUGAUAAGGUAUCUGGGGGAAAAGAACAGCUUAAAUGGUGGGCGGACCCUUUGGUGUUGGAUAACCAGUUGGUGUACUCUUCCUGGGUGCAGCUAUUUCUCCCACUCUUAGCAUUCCUUAGCUGCCUGUAGUUGUGUAGUCUUCCUGCAGUUGACGCUAGCACGUUUAUUGUGAAUGAGAUGAUGAAAAGUGGAUUAUAUUAUGGAAGCCUGAGAGCAGCGCAUUGGGGAGCAUGCGAUAUGCACCAGGAUGCAGCGUUUAAGGAAGAUGCUCUGCGAGAGGCUGUUCACAACUCCUCACUGAGAGGCAAGCAACUAAAUCACCUUCCGCUUUGCCUCACCUCGUCUGCCCAGGAAGAACUGGAUUUCAGUCUCUCUUGGCUUAGACUUGUGUUGCAUCAAAAACUCACCUCAGAUCUGUUUGCUUUAAGGGUUUCAGGAGUCAGAAUUCGGGGUGACAAGGACUGUAUUGUCAUGUUUUCCAUGAUAACAUGUCAGGCUGCACUGAUGGAUUUGCCUGGCACCGAUCCUGACAUCUGUCAAUCAUAUUCCAAGGUUGUAAGAUCUCCUUUCGCUUGCUGAAGUUAAAUGCAAUCCCAGUAUCCGGUUUUCUCCAGAGAACUCUGUGGGAGGAGGAAACAGAAUGGGGCUCUGAAAGAAGCUGGAGUCAAAUGCCGUCUUGUUACAGACCUCCUUACAGUUACUCCCAGGAAUGUUGGGACAUAUGUGUGGCAGCUUCCCUUCUGGUCAAUCUCAGAAGCAUGAAGUCAACCUGAGACCAUCAGAGGAAGUCACACAGUGUCAGAAGCUGCUGCCGUGGUCAGCUCAGCCCUAGGCAUUUCCUGAUUUGAAACCAUUUUUAGAGGAUGACCUCUUCAGAAUAUCGCUGGUGUAGGAAAGGCUUGGUUUUUCUCUAUCUGCGAUUCAAUACAGAAAGCACAGGGCUGAAACUCCCAACAGCUUACCUGCAAGGGAGCCGGCACCGUGAAAUUCAGAAAAGGCAACUGUCUUUAUGCCACCUGAACCACUUUAAAAAUUCUAGUGACACAGAACUGAGACGCAGUCUGCAGAUACACUCCUACACCAUACCUUCAGUGAUUAUGGGCUAUGGAUGGCCUCUGAGUCAGGGCUGUAUGGCUGUGUGUGGAUCAGGGUGAUAGCUGAGUACAUUCAUCCUGAGUACAGUUGUCUCCUGAGAGCACCAUGGUAUCUCAUCCCGUGUUGGAUUGCCACUCUAUUAAGUGGGCUUCAAGUGUCUGGAGUUUCCAACUUGUUUAUCAACUAAACAUAAUGGAGGCUUUUUUUGAACCAUGAUCAUAUACAAAUUAUUGAAUUUAAAACUGUACUGCUAAUUGGGGAAGAAAAAAAGCUUUUAUUUUAUGAGUUGUGUUUUGUCCCAGAAUUCUCUAACUCGAAAGUAGGUAGGUAAUGAUGUAAAGAUGGCAGACCUCAGUUCAGAUGCUCUCUGUAUCCAUAGAAACACCCUUGACCAUUUUGCUCCCUGCAGAGUCCUGGCAUCCUGGCUCUGAAGGGAAGAGCACUCUCCAAGGCACUGUCUGCCUGAGAGCAGCUUCCCAACAGUCCUGGGAGACGUCAGCAGAGCCUUGUGAUGUCUGGGGGACUCAGAAAAGCUAAAACCUAAAGCAGCUGCCUGUGAUGCACUGUUCCUAAGAAGGGCAGAAAAACUUGGGACGGUAUGGAGUGUUUGAGAGCACUGGGGAAGUUCUUCUGACAGCCUGGCAAGGCCAGAGAAAUCAUGCCUUUCCAGAACACGCAUCAGACACUCUGCCAGAAUGCCAUCAGGGUGUGACCAGGCUCUUCACCAUGGACACCCAAGGAAGGUAGCCUACCAGGAGGGGACUAACUUUGGGUACUGCAGAACCACAGGACUGCUCAGCCAUGUGCUGCUCUGUUACCCCUGGGAGGGUUAGGAUGUGCCCAGAUUCAGCGAGAGCUCCGCAUGGAGUGUGACAGAGCAGGCAGUGAAGUUUUUACCAUGGAAACAGAUCUAAAGGAGUCCUGGCAGCCCUGAUGGGUGAGCAUCCCCUCUGCCCUCAGCACACAGCUGAGACAUGGGUGGCACUGAGUGGCAGGUCCUGACUCAACACUCUUCAGAACACUUCUCCCCAAGACUGCAAUCAAACCCUUGUUCUCUCUGCAGUAAUUAAGAUGUGCUGCUGCUGCUGUUUUGAAAAGAAUUUAAUUUGGUUGAAAAUUUACUCUUUUGAGCAAUUUUCUUUAUACUGGCCCCUAAAUUAAGAUGUUAGUAGAAAUAUUUUUAGGUCCAAAUGACAGGUCUUAAUACUUCCUCUACACAUCCAAUCUACUCUUUUAAGUAGAGGGAAAUUAAGCAGUUUGAUGCAUAGUUUUUGCCAAACCAAACAAUUAGCUUCUGCCAACUUAGAGAAUUCAAAGCUUUUUUUUAAUUCUUAACAUUGCUCUUAUUUAUCGUAAAUAUAUGUAGGUGCACAAGCCACAGUAAACAUGUGGAGUUCAGAGGAGAACUUUUGGGUGUUGGUUCUCCCCUUUAGCUGUGUAAGGCCCAGGGAUCAAAUUCAGGUCCUCAGGUUUCCAGCUGCACCUUUACCCACUGCAAUAUUUUGCCAGCCCAUCAAGCUAUUUCUUCAUAGAUUAGCAUCUUUAAGUGACUUAAACACCCAAGACUCUCUAAUGUGGUAGAUAUUGGGUUGGUAUUCUUUUAUGAUAUAUCCUUUCUGUAACAGCAGUUUUCUUUUUAGUGUCUAUUGUACUUCCCAUCUGGUGCUCCAUGACGUAAAUAUUUGUCUUUCUCAAAGCUCUGUGUUCUUUGAAAAGCCCAUGGCAGGUGGCGUUGUUAUGCUUUGUCCUUUACACUAGUAACACCCGCACCAAGCAUUAAAUGUGUCUCUACCCAUCAUGAAGCAUGAACACAACUCGAAGACUUCGAUGUACUUUAUAGAUCAUUUGCUUCAUAUUUACAUCCAAGGUUGCAUGCUUAUUUGUAAAGCUGCUUUUUGUACUCAAAUGAUACAGCCCUAGAUUGUGUGUGUGUGUGUGUGUGUGUGUGUGUAACAAAAGCCAGUGAGCAUCAAUCCAUUCACUGUGCAGAAGACUCUUUAGCUCACAAAUGAGCUCUACUCAUGCAAUUUUAAUUUCCAGUGACUCUAGGGUGUGAAAGCCAAUAAGUGAAGAACCCUCUAAAAUCAAUGAUGGCUUAGUUGCAAAUUCAUUAUGUAAAAGACAGGAAAAGCUUAUUUGGCCAAACACCAAAAAUGCAGUGAAAGCAGAAACAUAUUUGGAUUAUAUAUUUAAUAAUCUGCUCACCUUGCAUAGGGUUGUAAGUCUCUGAUUGCUGUGUGACCGUCCCCCAGUCAUGUAUGAAACGUAUUCAGUGCUACUCUUUCUUCCCUCACUCAGUAACAUAUUCUCCCUAUUUAAUAUCUUGGGCUCAAUCUAUUGUUCAUAACUAAAUUUACUCAUUUUCCAUGAACAGUGUAGAGGCAUACAUAUCAAUUCUGCUCACAAGACUUGCAAAUGAGUUUAAUAAUUUCUGUAAACUAGCUUUGUGUUAGGGUACCUGUUUCGGGGCAAUGCAUUAACAUACUUAUUUAAAUGCAAUCAAGUUUUAAUAAGAAAGCCAAUGUGUUUAGCACUUCAAAAUACUCAGACUGGGAAUUCUCUCUGUGCUUACAAUACCGUGCUUAAAACAUUGUCUACAAGAACAUUCUUGCUAUAAGAGAAGGCUUUUUAGAUUCCUUACUAUUAUUGUAUCCAUUUUAGAAAAAAAUAUUUUUUUAAAAUAGUACUACAGAAAUCAGUUUAUCUAGAUGAAAACUCAUUGUUAUUGGAUUAAGAGAUUUGGUCUGUAAUUCUUCUAAAUUGACAGUUAAAUUUUUUUAUUUUGUCAAUUUAAUUUUUCUAUUAAGUAGAAAUGUGUGUGUUUGACUAUAAAAUCUGACUUUUGUAGCAUUUACUAUUUCAUUCUCUCAAAGAAAAUGGAAACAAUUAUCACAUAACUAGUUAUAUUUGUUUGUUUUGCGUUAUCUGCUGUGAUUUUUAUUAAUUAAAUUUAUUAUCUGACAGUUC